CAGUGUUGGAAAAAAGCAAUACUGGUCGUCCUACAGUAACUCCCAUGACAUCUGAUGAUGAUGACGCUGCGGAAGCAGGUCCAUCAAAAGAAGUCUGGAGCAGCAGAAGUGGGACUUCUGUAACACACCACCAAAAAAAAAAUGUGGCAGCAAAGAAAGCAAGGUCUGAUGUCCAGGGCCAAACACAGCAGGCUACCCCGCCACGAAGAUUAUCGACAGUAUGUUCGGUCCCCCCGCUCCAAAUUUUGGACACACCUCCAAGACGAGAACCACACUCCCCUCAUCUUGAUUCUCUCUAGUCCUGGUAACAGCAUCCCUCCGCAACAACAGCAACACAUUGACAUGGAUGAGACAAUCAUGUUAGAAAUGCAGCCAUUAAGCCAAGGAAUCAGCCCCCCAGCACCUGUGAAUACACCACCACAGCAAAGCACACCACCACAACACAGCCCAACAACACCAGUAACACAAGGCUCUGAUCACUUGUUUUGGAACAUUUGGGCUAGACAGCAGGCCACUAAUGAAGAUUGCCUGCGUAGGCAGACACAAAUGUUUGCAAGCCUACCAUGUCACCUCAGAAGAUUAAACAGAAAUAUGAGUAGACAAAAUGAACAAACCACGAGAAUUGGCAAUACCAUGGAACUCAUGCGUGCAGACAUUACACAGGUCAUGGGCAACUUACAGCGCAUAAUGGAAGAACAGCACAGACUAAUGGAAGAACAGCACAGACAGCAGCAAAGCUAUAUGAACAUUUUUCAAAACAAUCAAAAGAUAAAUGAAACUUUAUUCUGAAUUGUAGACAAUCAAAAUGCUGCUACACGUGAACUCAAUGCCACCCUCACUAACCUCAAUGAAACACUCAGAUCCAUGCACCAACAGCUAACAAGCAGCAGUUCUGGUACGACUACUUCAAAUAUCACGCCAGUGUCAUCACCACCAAGGCGCUCCACCAGAGCAUGCCAACAUGACAGUGCUAAAGGCAAAGGGCAGGACAAGCAGCCACCCACAAAAAAAUAACAAAUAAACCUCACAUUUUAAAUUUCAGAGAAGUAAAUCCAAAUACUUAGUAAGUGUAUGUUUGUGAAAAUAGAUAUAACACUUAGCUCCUUGAAAAUUUGUACAACAUCAUUAAUUAUAAGUGGUACAAACAACAACAGGAAAUGUGUACGCACAUUUAUUCUUUACCAUCUUUGAAUGUUUUUUGAGGAGGGAAAUGUUUGAGCUGCACAUAGAUGUUAGCAGGAAGUAAACAGACCACUUGAUUUUUUUUCUAAUCAUUACUCUUUCUAGAUUCCAAUCAAUCUCAGAUCCUGCAGACACAAUAAUUGGCAGCCAGCCAGAAUGUCUUUAGCAGGAAGUAAACAGACCACUUGAUUUUUUUCUAAUCAUUACUUUUUCUAGUUUCCAAUCAAUCUCAGAUCCUGCAGACACAAUAAUUGGCAGCCAGCCAGAAUGUCUUUAGCAGGAAGUAAACAGACCACUUGAUUUUUUCUAAUCAUUACUCUUUCUAGAUUCCAAUCAAUCUCAGAUCCUGCAGACACAAUAAUUGGCAGCCAGCCAGAAUGUCUUUAGAAGGAAGUAAACAGACCACUUGAUUUUUUUACUAAUCAUUACUUUUUCUAGAUUCCAAUCAAUCUCAGAUCCUGCAGACACAAUAAUUGGCAGCCAGCCAGAAUGUCUUUAGCAGGAAGUAAACAGACCACUUGAUUUUUUCUAAUCAUUACUCUUUCUAGAUUCCAAUCAAUCUCAGAUCCUGCAGACACAAUAAUUGGCAGCCAGCCAGAAUGUCUUUAGCAGGAAGUAAACAGACCACUUGAUUUU